GAACACCUGUACACGUACGAUCAGCGAAGUUAAGCAACGUUGGCCUUAGUCAGUACCUAGAUCGGUGACCGCUUGCGAAUAUCAGGUGCUGUAAG